ensembl:rRNA 5S_rRNA 5S ribosomal RNA
CCCAGCAGCCAUAUCACUCUGCAGCUCACAACUAGCAACCCACUGAAGCUAAGCAGGUGUGAGCCUGGUCAGUACCUGGAUGGGAGACCUCCUGGGAAAGCUAAGGUUGCUGCUGGAA